AAGGUCUGGGCUAGGUGUUUUCAAGUUCUUCCUUUGCCUCUUUUCCAAUGAAUUGAAAAUAAGGGAUCUCGCAGAAUUUGCAAAAUAAGGAAGUUGAUUUUAUUUGAAGUCAAAUGAUAGUGCAAAUUAAACAGAUACAGUGUCUCUGCUAAAUUCCUACAACAUGACUGCACCUUGGGAAGGACUGGUUGGAUGUGCGCUUCCUUGGUCCUCUAUUCAACUUUGAUCUUACUUCAGGACCCUAAAGUAGACUUGAGAAGUUCGCUGGAUCUCUGUCCUCCCUUCCCAAAAAGUGAUGUAAGUGCACCAAGGCUAGAGUUCUGGUUCUGGCAAGGGCCACAUCACAGCUCCUGAGCCUCAGCAAGGACACGGAAUAGUACAGGAAGAACUGGCCCUUGUUGGAGUCACAAGGCCAUGGGAGUUUAGCAGGUGGCUCCUGCUCAGCGAUUUAACCCAGGAUCCGGCGCUCCCUGGUGUGGCCUUCAACCAAGCUGUACUGGAGACGUCUGCUCAAAUCAAGCUAAGGGAGUCUACAAAGUUCAGAAUCCUGCUUGUGAAAUGGUUCUGGGAUUCACGCAGGACUCAGGACCAUGUUGCUGUCUCAUUCAGAAGAGAUGCACGAUUCUUAGAAAUUGUCCACAGGACCCAUCAUCAUGAUGCCGUUCAAUUCCAGCCUCUGCUUUUUUCAUCAUCACCACGUGGAAUUGCUAUGAGAAAGCCCUGGGGGGUGGUGUGGCUCUUGCUGCCAAAGGCCAUUUGAAUGACUUGGUAAAGAUGCGGGAACUGGCCACCAGGAGCUGGGUCUUCUGAUGGAAUUUGGAGACAUCCUCUUCCAGACGACCCAAGUCCAGAACCAGCUAGCCGAGAGGCUGCGGUCUUUUCACCGUGAGCUGCUUGCUCUGCUGCAGCAGAAGGUAGGGCUGCACCCUGAGUAUCUGAGAGCUGUGCUGGAGAAACACCAGGCAGGACAGAGGAGCACAGGAAAUGCCCUGGACAGGAGUGGGGAGCAGCUGGAGAAGCUCCUCAGGAAGAGCCAGGUACACCGACCAUGCUCUGCCUUCUUCAGCAUCAACUAUUUAACUAAGAUUGCAUUCCUUAUAUAAAAAUAAAUAGGUGCACGCACAUCUUUAGUAUGUUAACACAUGUUCGUCUUUUAUGAAUGCUAAAAUGAUAUGUAUACCAAAGUGUUUUAAAACAAAUUUAUGAUUUAUUAUAAAUAUAUUAUAAGGGAAUGUUUGAUUUGUACAUCUGUUUUAUCUCCCUAAAUAACCUGGGGUCACAUAAAAAUUUUUUAAUGAAGAAGAUUGCUCCUAGAAAACUUUAGAAUUCCCCCGAUUUCUCCUCUCUUUCCAAGACUGGAGUGUUUUUAAUUUCAGAGGAAGUGGGCCCCUCCUACAGUCCUAAGGCAACAAAGCACCCAUACUCUUGACCUGGUUGACAAGUGAGCCUGCUAGCCAAGUCUACUCCAUCAGCUGCUCUAAAUGCUUUAAAAAAAUCUGGUUUUUAAACAGUUGAAAAACUAAAAAAAAAUACAAUGUGAGAAGUAAAAAUUAUACGCUGUCCUAAUUUUUGUCCAUUUGAUACAAACUUGGACAUGGAUUCUAACCUAUAAAAGCAACCAAAUUGUUGCUUUUGGUCAUGGUUUCAUCACAGCAAAAUAAAGAAGCAACCUAACAUUUACGAGAUGAAAUGUCCACAUGCAGAAGCUAAGUCUUGUUGGAACACAGCCACACUUAAUUAUCGGCAGUGUCCACGGCUCUACAGUGGCAGAGCUGAACGCGUACCGUAGAGACAGCACGUCCGGAAAAGUCUCCAACAAUGUUUGCCGGCUGGUCCUUUUCAGGAAUCUGCUGGACCCUGUUCUACAUGAAUUAGGGGUAAUUCUAGUCUCCAUCCACCAUUUGUUACUGUUGUUACCGUUAUUAGUGUUAAGAGGGAAUGAAACCCAGUUUGGGGCCAGUGAACCACAAGGUCAAGCCUGACCUAAAACAGUCAGGGAGGAGAGAGGUGUUUUCCUCUAAUGGAAAGAGGCAUGAGGAUGCUUCCUUCUUACUUGGGCAAAUGCAUGUAAGGCUGCAACAUACAGAGUUGUGCCAGCUGACUUCGAGUCACUAGGGAAAAGGCAAUCAUGGAAAAAUCUAAGCUGUUAGCCAACCCAGCCCUUCCUACUUCUAGAUAUCUUUUCAUAUACAAAAUGAUUAUUAUCACAGCUUGGGGAUUAUGUUACCUGUUGUCAGGUUUGUCCUAAAAUACACGAGGGGAGAAAUUUUUUUUUCUGUUAUGACAUGUUCUCUAUUAUUGAUGACUCACAAAACUGUGAGCAGUUAUGAGCAUCAUCUGUAAUUAUUUUGACAUUACAUUUUAACCUUAAAAAUACACAAGUUUACGGCUCAUGAAAUGUACACGUGAUCUGACUUUCUGUCCUUCAUUUUUGCAAUACCAUAAAGAUUUCCAAAGAUACGUAAAGGAAACUGCCUCCUUUCAGAGAUUGUUCUAACAACUACUUCAUUGAUGCAAAUCUCCCCUUUAUUUCACAGUGUCAUAGAAAUCCAAAUCUGUUUGUUCUUUCAGUCUCAAAUAUUGGCUGUACUGAUUCCAAACAAGACUCGAGGGGGUUUGCAACAGAAGUUCUAUGUAGUGGGUACUGAAACUGUGAAUAAAGCAUUAUUUUUCCUCACUUAACCAAAUGAGUAUUUGAAUCCGA